rnacentral:tRNA from 1 species
GGAGGGGUGUCCGAGCGGUUUAAGGUGACGGUCUUGAAAACCGUUCUCGGUGCAAGCCGAGCGUGGGUUCGAAUCCCACCCCCUCCGCCA